rnacentral:rRNA from 1 species
UUCGGUCUCUAUCUAUCGUGGGCGUAUGAAAUUUGCGUGGCUCUGACACUAGUACGAGAGGACCGUGUUGGACAGACCUCUGGUUUGCCGGUUGUGCCGCCAGGUGCAUUGCCGGGUAUCUAAGUCUGGAUCGGAUAAGUGCUGAAAGCAUCUAAGUACGAAGCCGGCCACAAGAUUAGAUUUCUUGAGGGUCGUCAUAGACGAUGACGUUGAUAGGAUGCAGGUGUAAAGCUGGAGACAGCAAAGCCGAGCAUUACUAAUUGCCCGUCAACUUUCAUUGUC